rnacentral:sRNA from 1 species
AAUCAUGUCUCUGCUUCUCAACCA